GAGGUAUCGAUGCAUUUUUAAAAGUCUCUGAUGGUUGGCCGCUGCUGAAUUCUCCACUAAAGCUCGCAUCUCUCAAGAACUCUGAGAAUCAUUCAAAUGGAAUCUCGCUGAGCCUAAUCUGCAAAGUAGAAGUAAGACCCUUCAAUACUUCUCGAUUUUAACAAUUUCACCAUAAGAAAAUCUCUGUUUGCUAAAAAAUAAUGAUUGGAUGUUAGUUUCUGGUUUUAAUCAGCUUAACGAUUUUAUCACUUAAUCUAAUAUAUGUCAGGAACUAGCGAAUUCACUGGAUUUACAGACCCGGCAAAACUUAUCAAGCUUCAUGGAUGCUAUUGAGAAGAUACUUAUGCAGCAAAGUCGUGAGGAACUCAAUUCCAGUGAACCUUCCCAAAAGUGAGUUACCAAGAAAACGUCCUUACCUCCAUAACCUAACAUGUUUUGAGAAGUUUGUUGCGUGUUUGCUAUCUGCAACCCUUUUGUUGUAAUACUUUUGACAUAACUUCUGCCCCGGGUCAAAU
rnacentral:lncRNA from 1 species